rnacentral:rRNA from 1 species
UACGUAGGGUGCGAGCGUUGCCCGGAAUCACUGGGCGUAAAGGGCGCGUAGGCGGCUUGCCAAGUCAGGGGUGAAAUCUUUCGGCUUAACCGGAAAAGUGCCUCUGAUACUGGCGAGCUAGGGGGAGGUAGGGGCAUGUGGAACUUCCGGUGGAGCGGUGAAAUGCGUUGAUAUCGGAAGGAACGCCGGUGGCGAAAGCGACGUGCUGGAUCUCUUCUGACGCUGAGGCGCGAAAGCUAGGGGAGCGAACGGG